UCCUUCUAAUAUUGGUUAGUAGAAUUAAAAAAAUUAGAUGAAGUUUGGGCAAUGGCUCUUUUGACUAUGGAAGCUACAUAGCGUCGAUGUAAGAGUUAUUAUAAUAGUAAAUUAUGUCUCAAAUUUUUUUUGUCCAAUGAUCUAAUGCUUCUUUAUAAUAGCCAAUUUAAAAAAAAUUGGAGAAAUUUCAAGUCCAUUGGAAUGAACCGUAUUAUGUA
rnacentral:lncRNA from 1 species